rnacentral:rRNA from 1 species
GCGCGGAAGAUGUAACGGGGCUAAACCAUGCACCGAAGCUGCGGCAGCGACACUCAGGUGUUGUUGGGUAGGGGAGCGUUCUGUAAGCCUGUGAAGGUGUGUCGUGAGGCAUGCUGGAGGUAUCAGAAGUGCGAAUGCUGACAUAAGUAACGAUAAAGCGGGUGAAAAGCCCGCUCGCCGGAAGACCAAGGGUUCCUGUCCAACGUUAAUCGGGGCAGGGUGAGUCGACCCCUAAGGCGAGGCCGAAAGGCGUAGUCGAUGGGAAACGGGUUAAUAUUCCCGUACUUGGUGUUACUGCGAAGGGGGGACGGAGAAGGCUAUGUUGGCCGGGCGACGGUUGUCCCGGUUUAAGCGUGUAGGUGUGUGUUCCAGGUAAAUCCGGUUCACUUUAACACUGAGGCGUGACGACGAGGCACUACGGUGCUGAAGCAACAAAUGCCCUGCUUCCAGGAAAAGCCUCUAAGCAUCAGGUAACAUCAAAUCGUACCCCAAACCGACACAGGUGGUCAGGUAGAGAAUACCAAGGCGCUUGAGAGAACUCGGGUGAAGGAACUAGGCAAAAUGGUGCCGUAACUUCGGGAGAAGGCACGCUGACACGUAGGUGAAGUGAUUUACUCAUGGAGCUGAAGUCAGUCGAAGAUACCAGCUGGCUGCAACUGUUUAUUAAAAACACAGCACUGUGCAAACACGAAAGUGGACGUAUACGGUGUGACGCCUGCCCGGUGCCGGAAGGUUAAUUGAUGGGGUCAGCGCAAGCGAAGCUCCUGAUCGAAGCCCCGGUAAACGGCGGCCGUAACUAUAACGGUCCUAAGGUAGCGAAAUUCCUUGUCGGGUAAGUUCCGACCUGCACGAAUGGCGUAAUGAUGGCCAGGCUGUCUCCACCCGAGACUCAGUGAAAUUGAACUCGCUGUGAAGAUGCAGUGUACCCGCGGCAAGACGGAAAGACCCCGUGAACCUUUACUAUAGCUUGACACUGAACAUUGAGCCUUGAUGUGUAG